GAUGAACGCUGGCGGCGUGCUUAAUACAUGCAAGUCGAGCGGACAGAUCAGGCGCUUGCUGCGUUGACGUGAGGGGAGGAGGGGUGAGUAACAUGUGUAUAACGUCCCUGUAUGACGGAUAAAACCCCGGGAAAGCGGCGCAAAUCGGAUAGAAGAUCUAGCAGCGCGUGGUGCUAAGGUGAGAGUCGGCGGUGGGAGAUGGUAUCGCGGCUUACGCGCUUGAUGGUGGAGUAGGGGAUGACAAGGGCUAUGACGGGUAGCCGGCCUUGGAGGGUGACCGGCGACAUUGGGACUGAGAGACGGCCCAGACUCCUACGGGACGCAGCAGUGGGGAAUAUUGCACAACGGGCGGAAGCCUGAUGCAGCAACGCCGCGUGCGUGAUGACGGCUUUCGGGUUGUAAACCGCUUUCGCCUGUGACGAAGCGUGAGUGACGGUAAUGGGUAAAGAAGCACCGGCUAACUACGUG
rnacentral:rRNA from 1 species